CCGGCAGUCGCCGGCGUACCGCACGCGAUCUCCCUCCACGACCCGCUCCUCCCCCUGGUCGGAAACCUCGCCUCCAUGGACCACCCAUCAGGCGCCUACCUCCUAAAGGUACUCCGUUGCAGAAGCACGGUGUGGGAAGUGACCUGCCUCUGAUGAAACCUGCAGCUGCUUGAUUUCUAUGUACUUUACUCCAAGUCAGCGGAUCACGUCUUGUGCGGGAGCAGUAGUAACUGCCGGUUCUUGUGCUAGCUCCUAUUUUACUGCAUCAAUCGUUAUGUGUUUAUACUUGGACAUAAACAUAGUGAUUGAUUCAACCAAUUGUGUGAGUAUCUCAGUCUACAAUUUCAUUUUGCAUUGUAGGAGCUUUGGACAGCCAGUGAUUGGUUUUUUCUACUGCACCACAAUUUAUUGGCUGUAGGCUGAAGAUUUCGAACUUCUCGAGGCUCAUCAUAUAGCCUAAACCUACAAGAUAUUGGUGUUGAAAAGUUGAAACAAAGGACCAGAGUUUUGCACCAAUGCUCCAACGCAGAAGCAAUAUGAGAGAAUGAAUAAUAGAAUCUCAUGCUCAUGGGACAAAGAUUAGGGAAGGAGUUCACACGACGGUCCACAAUUAAAGUAAGUACUUUUGAUACUUAUAUAACUAUUUCUAAUGCUCCACAUUUACAGGGUCCAAGCCUGGAAGUGCAAGUAGUCACUAUAAGUUAGGAAUGUAUGAACCAGAUUGAGUCAUUCUUGACAGUACUUAUGACCUCCUUCUGGUAUGUCUUUUUUCUUCUGGAAGCGAAGCAACACAGUUGAAUUUUUCUUCUAGGGCGCUAGCCAACUGCACCGAGUAAUUACUAAUGCAUCGUGUUUAGGUAAAGGAAUCACUUAGCUCUCACACAAACAAACUUGGCUUGUAUAAAUAUAUAUACCCUAAAGCUAGACACAAACAGACCAUUAAUUUGUACAAACCAAAUUGGUUUUGUGCAUGGUUGUAAAUGUUAUAACUGAUCUCUUAUACAUACUUUUGUCCCUGGUCCCCACUUUCUUUUCUGAUCUGUCUCUAGCUUCAUAUAGAUAAUGUGCCAAUUUGGUUGUGUUGUUUCUGAUUUAGAGAUGAUAACAUAUAUAUCUUAAUCUCAGUUUGAAUGCGGAUCAUCCAAGUCUAGGUAUGUAAGCACUGAGCUAAGAUAAGGCAAAUCCUAUGAUAAAAAUGUCACUUUAUGUGAAAUAGCAAUCAUUACAGGUAAGAAGUUCUAGAAACCUAAAUAUGAAAUAACAAUCCCCACAUUGCAUACAUACACCUUCUAUAAUAUUAAAGGUCCUUAGGUAGUUAGGUAUAUAUAAGAAUGGAAUUUAUUCAAUGGAUGAUCAGAUUCUUAGAAGAAUAAGAGCAAGUGUAUUAUGUUCUGUUCAUCUAGCAAAGACAGAGCAUAAUAUCAUCUUUAUCAAUUUGAACUUCCCAUGCACAUACUAAACACAUAAACAAUCUAUUUUUUUGAUGAAUAAAUUACGCCUAUGGAUAUUAAGCCUAGCAAAUGCGAAACAUGCAUGCUUUUUAGGUCUCGAAAACACAAUUGUGUCUUGUUCCUCUAAAAUCAGAUUCUUUCUUAAUUGAUUACUGUGUUACAUCACUUGCCCACAUUUUCUA